rnacentral:lncRNA from 1 species
ACAAUCCCAUUCUAACUCAAUGCUUCCUCCAUGUGAUGAUAAAACAACACCAACUUUUUUGUGGAUCUUUGGAAGUCCAAUAAGAAAAUCAUUUUAAAAAAAUAAUAAUAUUUUUUACACCCUCCCCCAAAUAAAAGAACACCAACUUCAAUUUAUAAUGCCAAAAAUAAAUUAAAAGAAAAAAAAAGGAAGAGUGGUAGCUUCAGGUUUGGCAUGGCUUCAGAGCAUGCACUAACC